UGAGGCAAGGGGAUUGCCUCAGUAGCGGCGAGUGAAGCGGCAAGAGCUCAGAUUUGAAAUCGUGCUUUGCGGCACGAGUUGUAGAUUGCAGGUUGGAGUCUGUGUGGAAGGCGGUGUCCAAGUCCCUUGGAACAGGGCGCCCAGGAGGGUGAGAGCCCCGUGGGAUGCCGGCGGAAGCAGUGAGGCCCUUCUGACGAGUCGAGUUGUUUGGGAAU
rnacentral:rRNA from 1 species